GCCGGUAUAGCUCAGCUGGUAGAGCAACUGACUUGUAAUCAGUAGGUCCCGAGUUCGACUCCUGGUGCCGGCACCA
rnacentral:tRNA from 1 species